UAAGUGGACAUUUUAUAUGUUAGAUGUAGGUAGGAAGCUGCGAGAUGAAUGCAUAUACCACACAACAAAUCAUCAUUAUAUGUAUAAAUAUCGUACGGAAGUAUAUAUCUAUAUAUGUAUCUUCUAUUUCGCUAAAAGGUUGCACAAACAUAAUUAAAAAUUAAUUUCCUACUCAUACAAAACUCUGUUUUCCUCUUCCUCAUUUUAUAAAUAAUUUCUGCAAUAUAUCUCUGUUUCUUAACUCUUUCUUUCUGAUAAAAAUCUUUAAAAAAAAUAUGUAUAUAUACACAUGUACAUUUUGACUAUGAGGUCUCUUUGGCAGGAUUGUCGAUGACUAAGUAUAAUGAUUCUUACAUCAUCGUACUCGACCUUAUGUACACAUUUUAAUUAAAAUAUAUAUGGAGAGUUCGUCGCUACAUAAGGUAGUGUCUUUUUCUCAGUAUUUUAUCAGAGAUAUAUCUAUAUAGAAACAAUAUACGAGUUACCCUUACAGUCGGUCCGAACUCACAAGUAUCAUAUACAGGGAGUUGCUUAAAGUUACAAAGAUCUCACAAAGACUUUACCUUAUGCAUCAUUAGGAUAAACUAAUAAUCUGUGAAGAUUACGUGCA